rnacentral:misc_RNA from 1 species
AUUAAGUAUAUUAAUGUCACAUUUAGAUACUUAAUCUUAAUAAUUAUCGAAUUGUAGGUAUUAACGGUUGUAGCUUGAUGAUAGUUUAGAAUUAAUAGUAAUUAACUGAAUUAAUUGUUAUUGUGAAGAAUACUCCUUUAGAG